UUAUGUAAACUAAUGUCAAAAACAUAAACAAUGACUUAUAAAACCCGCCGUUUGGCAUGCAUGAUUUUUAAAACCCGCCAAACAAAUCGCAGCAAACUGGUUGUUGCUCAGGGGAAAUGUCCUUGUCAAAAAAUUUCUGUUUUCUUUUGAAACGGUGGUGAUUUUUCGGUGGCACAGUUAUUCUAAAUUUCCUGAUUCUCUAAAUUGAAAAAUGCUUAGUUUUCUGGAUAUUAAACGCGAUAAAUGGAGCAGGAUCAUAAAUAUAUUUAGACUCCGCGAAGCCUGGUGGUCCCCAAGAAAAGAUCACCCUAACAACUUAUGCUAAGGGUGCACACUGGCUGCUGUUUUGAUAUCUUGAUUCGUUCAGCCUCUGACGAAAUACUACCUCCUUUGGCUCGAGUCGGUCCCACUGUACGUGUCCAUUUGUUUUGUUUUGUGCAUAACAAAUUUAUGCUAAUUACGCCUGGGUCUCUCUUGUGAAGAGCCACUGACCUGGUCGGUCAUCAGUCGUCGAGAUGAUUUUGCUAGUGGCAGCGGAGACCUUGAUGAAGUACCCAGCAGCGAGAGGUUGCCACCGGCAGCUAGGGCAAAUCGCCGUUGGACGCGCCUCACUAAUUUGGCUUCCGGGAGGGACAUCUCAGGAAGAAUUAGAAUUUGUUAUGUUUCAAGUUAUCGGCUUUAGUAGAUAGGCCAUUGAUUACGGUAUUGGAAUCUGAAUUCACCGAUCUGUACUAUUUGUGACAGAUUUAAGUUGGUUUAAGUAAAAUAAAUUCAAUUGAAUAAUGAGUUCAAUAAUUAGAAAUUAAAUUGCGUGUAGAA